CAAAACUUAGCUCAUGUUGUACAGAAGUCUGGUUGUUUCCCUUUUUGUUGCUGCAUUUUCAGGCUAAGUUGCUAUGAAAUGCAAUCUAACAAGUUACAUUUCUUUGCACCGUCAGAGAAGUAAUGCCUAACCUAUACUUGUGCUGCCUGUUUGUCACUCCUUUCUGUUACAGCCUUUUCUCUGGUUUUGGAUAUUUACAUAAGUAAAAUUAAACAUUAGAGGACUGUGCUACUUAAAGGGCCACUUAAUAAAAAAAGAAGUCUUCACUAUUCACUCGAUUGUAUCUGAGAUUAAUAAUGAGAAUUGAGGGAGGAAGCCAGUGUCAUUAAAAAUAACAUUUAAAAAUUUUUAAAUGCCUCUCUCUCUCUCUCUCUCUCUCUCUGUGUGUGUGUGUAUGUAUGUAUGUAUGUACACACACGCACGAGCGCCUGUUUCUUUGCAGGGUGGAAACUAGGGAACUAAGAGGAAACAGCUAUGAGCAGAGCAGGACACCUGUCUUGUUUUUACCUAAGUAAGUUUGCCUUGACAACAUUGUGAAAACACCUAACAGAAAAUCCUGCUAGACUCCCUGCGCCGCCCACCGCACUGGAGCCAGCCUCUCAACAUGAGAAGAUUGUCUUAAGACAACGCGAACUAGGAGCAGUAGGUCCACCCUUCAGCCACCGUCCUGCCUCGUCCUGCCUCAGAGUUUCUCCAGUGCAUCUGGCCGUGGACAUGUCCCCUUCAGGUCCUUCUAUUUCCGGUGGGUUCCAAACCGCAAUAGUCUGUGAGUCGACCAGUGAAUCGCGGAUCCCGCGGGGAAGAGCUAAUUUGCACGCCCUGCCUUUACGCGAGGGGCGUGGCGACGUGCACAGGCCUAAUUUUGCGUGUGUUGUCACGCCCUUCGCAAGGGGGCGGGGCAUGCAAAUCAUACUCGGCGUGCGCGCUCGGGAACGCCGGGAGAGCCGGGGUCGUGGACUUUGUAGCUGAAGCUGUGGGUGCUGGAGUGGGAGUGAGGCGUGGAGGACGCAGUCGCGGACGGGAGGAGGAAGGAGCCUCGGGGAAGGCAGGAUGUGAGGGUUGCGAGCGGUCACCACAAAGUUAAUGUGUCUCACGGCCGCAGAGCAUGGCUGCGCGGUGUGUGUCGAGUAUCGCUUCUCGGCCUUUUGGCUAAGAUCAAGUGUAGUAUCUGUUCUUAUCAGUUUAAUAUCUGAUACGUCCUCUAUCCGAGGACAAUAUAUUAAAUGGAUUUUUGGAACUAGGAGUUG